GAGGCCAGGAAGGAACAGAGAGAUGGUCAAAUGAUUUCUUGUAGACAUCAGGGAAGUGCACUGACAGCAAAGGUAGGAUUGCAUCCUGGGCUUAGAUGCCAGACAUCAAACGCAGAAAAAUGCACCCUCUUUUAUCCAGGUAUUCCUGCUUCGAAAAGUUUAUGCUAAGGAAAUCGGCAUGGAUGUAUGGAAGAAAAAAAACACAGAUUUGCUUAUAAGAUUAAAAACUAAAAACAAUCAAGUACCCCCAAACAGUGGGUUGCUGAAGUAAAAUAGGGCAUGGGCAGUGUUUAAGGCACACUCAUCUCCCCCUUCAUGUCACCACUGUUGGUCACUGUUGUCUGGGGACAAAUGUGCCAGCCUGAGUUCCUGGUAGCUUGACAUUAAGAACCUAGAAGGGCAUUGGGAAUUAAUCAUGCUUUUCUCCUGCUCGACCCUUGUUGGGUCCUGCCCUGCCUUUCUGCAGAUGCAGAUCUCUGGUUCCUGGUCCUCUGCUCAGCUGCUGGGAUACAUGGCCUGCCUCCCUGCUCUCGCCCACGGCACUGGCCCCACAGCCUGUCCAGGCCUCUUUGCUUAUAAUCAAUCACUCUGGUGUGGCUGGUCUGGAUCUCGCUCUGCUUCUCUGGCCAUGAUGAUGGAUCUGUAGGAGAUGGUGGGCCCGACGAGAAUCAUAGUCUGACGUCUAGGAACCGGAUACUGUGAUUUGCCCCACCUAAAGGAACACGGUGAAGUGAUCAGCUUUGAACGACCCUGGAUGUGUUUCAAAGGCUGUGUGCCCUUUCACUUUUUUAACUGAUAAUGCUCUUCUUAUUGCCAGCAGCCGAGGCUAAAGAGAUUUAAGUGAACAUGUGGGAGUUCUGCUUACCGGCAACUGACUCAGGUGGGAGGAAUACUCUUUCUUGCUCUUUCUUUCCUCAUCUCUGCAGUAUGUUAGGAGGACAUGAUGGGUAGAGCUUUAGCACCUUCUUCCAUCAUGAGGGAAACUUGAGGAUGGAAGCUAGUGAUAGGGUAGAGUAGAAAACUUGAGGACCCAGGUCCCUGCUUGUGUGGACAAUACUAAGUAGCCCCUGAUGAGUCAUGACCUUAUAGAAUCCCCUCCCAUUGGGUUAAGAUGGAACCCAUGACUUGCUUCUUCUAAGCAAUGGGACAUGGCAAAGGAGAUGGGCUAUCACUCCCACAGUGACACUUCAUUAUAUGGCAAGGGUGAAAGAUUUCGUAGAUGUAAUUAAGGUCCCUAAUCAGUUGACUUCCAGUUCAUCAGAAGGGAGAUUAUUCUGGGUAGACUUGCCCUAAUCAGGGGAAUCUUUAAAAGAGGGCCUAUGCCUUCCCUGAAUUCAGAGAUUCCAAGCAGCAGAGACUCUUUUUGCUCACUUGCUGGUCUUGAAAAAGUAAUGCUCCACAAAGGUUAUAGCCACAAAGAAAUGAACUCUGCCAACAAUUCAGUUCUGAGGCAGCUUGGAAGUGGAUUGUCCCCCCAGUCUCCUGAUGAUGAUGCAGCCCAGCCAACACCUUGAUUUCAGCUUUGUGAGGCCACCCAGCUAAGCCAAAGUCAGACUCUUCACUCACAGACACUGUGAGAUAAUAAAAGUGUGUUGUUUCAAGCUGUUGAGUUAGUGCUAGUUUGUUAUGUAGCAUAGAACACAUAGAACACUAGUACAUUGAUGUCCGUGCUGUUGCUGUAACAGCCCAGGAAUGCCUACCUCCAGGCUCCUUUUACAAAGUGAGCAAGAAUUAAAUUUCUCACUUCUUUAAACCAUUAUAAUUUUAGAUUUUCAUUUAUAGGUAGCAGACCCUCACCUUAACUGAUUCAUGGAGUAAUGAGGAAGGGUUUAUAGAAGAUGAGUCAUUUGUGGUUGAUCUUAAAAGUGGAUACAAAUUCAGAAGGUGGAAACUGGGGUGUCUGGAGAUAGAAAAUGAUUUUCCUGGGGCAGAGUGAAUAAACAUAAAUUGUAGGUGUUUUGAAGAAAUAAGAAAUAAUUCAGUUUCACUAGAUUGAAUGAGAUGAGGCUGGAAAGGUAGAUUAGAGCUGAAUCAAAGCCAGAAGUGCU